AGGUCUUGGGAUAUUUGGGGUUAAGCGUCCUUGGGUUUGAAUAGUACUGGGAUGGGUGACCUCCCGGGAAGUCCAAACUCAGAAGCUU
rnacentral:rRNA from 1 species